GUCUACGGCUCUGACACCCUGAGGAAUAAUAGAUCCCAUCUGAUCUCGGAAGCUAAGUAGGGUCAGAUCUGGUUAGUAUUUAGACAGGAGACCACCUAGGAAGACCAGGUGCUGUAGGCG
ensembl:rRNA 5S_rRNA 5S ribosomal RNA